UCCUUAGUACGAGAGGACCGGGAUGGACAUACCUCUGGUGUACCAGUUGUCGUGCCAACGGCAUAGCUGGGUAGCUAUGUGUGGACGGGAUAAGUGCUGAAAGCAUCUAAGCAUGAAGCCCCCCUCAAGAUGAGAUUUCCCAACUUCGGUUAUAAGAUCCCUCAAAGAUGAUGAGGUUAAUAGGUUCGAGGUGGAAGCAUGGUGACAUGUGGAGCUGACGAAUACUAAUCGAUCGAAGACUUAAUCAA
rnacentral:rRNA from 1 species